rnacentral:lncRNA from 1 species
UCCCUGGCCCAGCUCUGCAAGCCACCCACAGUUCUUUCUCAUGACGAGGACGUCCCCACACUCAUCCUCAGAUGGCAGGAAGAUCUCUGACGCUGAGCACAGUGCCAAACCUAUAUAGAAACUCAUUUGGGAUAUGGAGGAGAAUAUGCCACCAGUUCUCCAAAGUGGAGGGGUGAAGCCAUGCCUCCCUUUCCCUCACCUGUGUAAACUGGGUAUGAAGACAGAGGACACCAGGAAAGAAGCCAGAGAAAGAGGAACAGUGAUGAAGCCAACCAUCAUACCAGUUGAUUCUAAGUGCUGGGAGCCUCUGUCUACACUUACUCUCCACCUCGCUCAGGCUCCAUAGGCAUGGUGUCUACCUGCUGGCCCAUCCUGGGAAGUCAUCCCAACGUGACAGAAUGGAAAAGAGAGGGCAUGGAAGACUAGUUCAUAGGUAAGGGCAAGAGGGACCUCGCAGAUGGUAAGGUGCUCUGUGGAGAAUCAGUUUGUCCAACUGAUAAACAGAAAACAGUACAAAGAAAUGUGCUAUCACAGAACGAUCUUAAGCACUGGAACCAGUCAGUCCCAGAUUCAAAUCCAGCUCUACCCUUCUCUAGGGAUGGUUUUCUUAUUCUCCAUCUCCUCCCCCUUAAAAUGGGGAUGAUAAUACCUCCUCAUGAGAGGCUGUGAGUAGCUGAUGGGAUAAUUUGUGUAAAUUGGCUAAUAAAGUAUCUGGUAAACAGUAGGGUCCCAAUACAGGAAGCUUGAGAUGGUAUUAAAUCACUGGUCAGGCAAUAGAUGCUCGAGACAGUAUGACAGCCACUAGCCACAUGUGGUUAUUUAAUUUAAAAUUCACUUCCUCAGUUGCACUAGCCACAGGCCAAAUGCGCAAUAGCCACAUGUGGCUAGUGGCUACCAUGGCGGAAAGCAUAGAUAUGGAACAUUUCCAACACCACAGAAAUAGCACUGCUAUUAGCACACCACAGGAUAGCACUGCUCUGGGGUUCUGAAUAAGAGAUACUCCCUGGGUCCAGCAGCACGGAUACUGGUCUGGAACUGCUCCCCUGACCAUAUCAGAGGUAUGUGCCUGUGACUGAAUCAGCUGGUGCUUCACUAGAGACUGUGUCAGACUAUAUGGGCUCCCAAUUCUUUCCUUUGCCUCCCAUUCAGUGCUCACCAGUACUAGAGUGGAUCUUGAUGCUGAUCACCACAAACCCAGGCCUCCCAGCAGAUUCUUUUUUUU